rnacentral:rRNA from 1 species
GACGAACGCUGGCGGCGUGCCUAAUACAUGCAAGUCGAACGCAGUGGGGACUGGUGAGUAACACGUGGGUAACCUCCCAUCAGAGGGGAUACCACUUGGCAACAGGUGCUAAACCGAUACUGAUGGAUGAACCCGCGGUGCAUUAGCUAGUUGGUGAGGUAACGGCUCACCAAGGCCACGAUGCAUAGCCGAUCGGAGAGGGGAACCGGUCACACUGGGACUGAGACACGGCCCAGACUCCUACGGGAGGCAGCAGUAGGGAAUCUUCGGCAAGGGAGGAAAGUCUGACCGAGCAACGCCGCGUGAGUGAAGAAGGUUUGCGGAUCGUAAAACUCUUUUGUUAGAGAAGCGGUAUCUACCCAGAAAGCCACGGCUAACCACGUGCCAGCAGCCGCGGUAAUAC